GAGUAAAGAUUUCGGUCGCUUUGGGAGGAGCUCGCUUACUAUCAGCUUGUUGGUAGGGUAAUGGCCUACCAAGGCUAUGACGGUUAGGGGGUGUGAGAGCAUGACCCCCAGCAUUGGCACUGAAACACUGGCCAAACACCUACGGGUGGCUGCAGUCGAGAAUCUUCCACAAUGGGGGAAACCCUGAUGGAGCGAUGCUGCGUGCGGGAUGAAGGCCUUCGGGUUGUAAACCGCUUUUGUAGGGGACGAAAUUUUUGACGGUACCCUUUCGAAUAAGAGGUUGCUAACUCUGUGCCAGCAGCAGCGGUAAUACAGAGACCUCAAGCGUUAUCCGGAUUUACUGGGCGUAAAGCGUCUGCAGGGGGUUUAUUAAGUUCCAAGUAAAAUUUCAAGGCUCAACUUUGAAUUCGCUUGGAAAACUAAUAAACUGGAGUCUAGCAGAGGUGCAUGGAACUUGUGGUGUAGGAGUGAAAUCCGUUGAUAUCACAAGGAACACCAAAGGCGAAGGCAUUGCACUGGGCUAGCACUGACCCUGAGAGACGAAAGCGUGGGGAGCAAAACGGAUUAGAUACCCGUGUAGUCCACGCCCUAAACGAUGAAUGCUAAAUGUUCGGGGAUUCGACCCCCUGGGUGUUACAGCUAACGCGUUAAGCAUUCCGCCUGGGAAGUACGGCCGCAAGGCUAAAACUCAAAGGAAUAGACGGGGAUCCGCACAAGCGGUGGAGCGUCUGGUUUAAUUCGACAGUAAGCGUGGUACCUCACCAGGGUUUGACAUCCCUUGACAGCCUUGGAAACAAGGUUUCCUUCGGGCAAGGUGACAGGUGCUGCAUGGUCGUCGUCAGUUCGUGCCGUGAGGUGUUCCGUUAAGUCGGGAAACGAACGAAACCCCUAUUGCAUGUUACAAUUUCUCAUGCAAGACUGCCCGGAUAUACUGGGAGGAAGGUGGGGAUGACGUCAGAUCUGCAUGGUCCUUAUACCCUAGGCGACACAGGCGCUACAAUGGCAGAGACAAAGGGGUUGCAAAACCGCAAGGUGAAGCUAAUCCCAAAAACUUUGUCUAAGUUCGGAUUGAAGGCUGCAAUUCGCCUUCAUGAAGCUGGAAUCGCUAGUAAUCGUGAAUCAGCCACGUCACGGUGAAUAUGUUCCCGGAUCUUGUACUCACCGCCCGUCACACCAAGAGAGUUGGUAGCUCCCGAAGCG
rnacentral:rRNA from 1 species